rnacentral:lncRNA from 10 species
AGGAAUCUGAUAACCAAAAGUUCUAUUCACCUCAACCUAAUCAACCUGAAGAUGACGAGGAUGAAAACCUUUCUGAUGAUCCACUUCCAUUUAAUGAAUAGUUCAAAGUGUUGCAAUGUGUACAAAAUAAGAGGAGUGUCUGUGCCUUUGAAAGGUGAAUGUUUGUAGAAUCUCAAAGUUUAGAACAAAUAUUACCUAUGCAACAAAAAUGACAUCUGCUAAGUAAGCCUACAAAAUACUACUAAACAACACCAAACACAUUUCUUCAUAAUAAAAUGAAAUUUGACUAGAAUUGUAAGUGGUGUUUUGCUUAAUAAAAUCUCAAUGUCAGAAGUUAUUACAAA